CCUACGGGCGGCAGCAGUGGGGAAUAUUGGACAAUGGGCGAAAGCCUGAUCCAGCCAUGCCGCGUGUGUGAAGAAGGCCUUCGGGUUGUAAAGCACUUUCAGUGGGGAAGAAAGCCUUGGGGCUAAUACCCUCGAGGAAGGACAUCACCCACAGAAGAAGCACCGGCUAACUCCGUGCCAGCAGCCGCGGUAAUACGGAGGGUGCGAGCGUUAAUCGGAAUUACUGGGCGUAAAGCGCGCGUAGGCGGUCUGAUAAGCCGGUUGUGAAAGCCCCGGGCUCAACCUGGGAACGGCAUCCGGAACUGUCAGACUAGAGUGCAGGAGAGGAAGGUAGAAUUCCCGGUGUAGCGGUGAAAUGCGUAGAGAUCGGGAGGAAUACCAGUGGCGAAGGCGGCCUUCUGGACUGACACUGACGCUGAGGUGCGAAAGCGUGGGUAGCAAACAGGAUUAGAUACCCCAGUAGUC
rnacentral:rRNA from 1 species